AUUGAACGCUGGCGGCAUGCUUUACACAUGCAAGUCGAGCGGCAGCGCGGGGGCAACCCUGGCGGCGAGCGGCGAACGGGUGAGUAAUGCAUCGGAACGUAUCCUCGAGUGGGGGAUAACCCAGCGAAAGUUGGGCUAAUACCGCAUGAGCUCUGAGGAGGAAAGCGGGGGACCUGCGAGGGCCUCGCGCUGGAGGAGCGGCCGAUGUCCGAUUAGCUAGUUGGUGGGGUAAAGGCUUACCAAGGCGACGAUCGGUAGCUGGUCUGAGAGGAUGAUCAGCCACACUGGGGCUGAGACACGGCACAGAGUCCGACGGGAGGCAGCAGUGGGGAAUUUUGGACAAUGGGGGCAACCCUGAUCCAGCCAUGCCGCGUGAGUGAAGAAGGCCUUCGGGUUGUAAAGCUCUUUCGGAGGGAACGAAAUGGGCGGGACUAAUACUCCUGUCGGAUGACGGUACCGGAAGAAGAAGCACCGGCUAACUACGUG
rnacentral:rRNA from 1 species